rnacentral:rRNA from 1 species
GACGAACGCUGGCGGCGUGCCUAAUACAUGCAAGUUGAACGCAACAAAGACACCAGAGCUUGCUCUACCGUUUUUGUUGAGUAGCGAACGGGUGAGUAACGCGUGGGUAACCUGCCUUAUAGCGGGGGAUAACUAUUGGAAACGAUAGCUAAUACCGCAUAACAAUAGAGAUUGCAUAAUCUUUAUUUGAAAGUGCCAAACUGGUACACUAUGAGAUGGACCCGCGUUGUAUUAGCUAGUUGGUAGUGUAAUGGACUACCAAGGCGAUGAUACAUAGCCGACCUGAGAGGUGAUCGG